CCCAGAUUCAGACUCUCCCAGUAUCUGCCUUUCUGUCAUUUAUUCAUCUCGGCUGCUCACCCUUUGUUCUACAUGCCUUUAAUAUGAUCUGGUAUUUGUCAUGAACUACCCAGAUGUAGUAAUUAAGAAAGCUUGUCUCAUCCUACUAUGAUGUAACAGCUUGACGAAUGCCAGAUCAUGAAUGCAUGGCGAUGCAACUUCAGUACUGUGUUUCUGUCAGACUGCCAGCCUUCAUCAAGCCCUACUUGCUAGAGAAAUACACCGGAUACUUGAUCUCAAUGCGAUAUGUUGGACAAAGAAGUCCGAUGCAUGGAGACCCCACCUCAAAACUUAGAGGACUUUACAGGAUCUGCUGCUAAUGCCUUGGUGCCAGAU